GAGAGUUAAAUAGUACGUGAAAUUGUUGAAAGGGAAACGAUUGAAGCCAGUCGUACCUAUGGGUAAUCAGCCUUUUGGGUGUGAUUUUGUGGAGCGUGAGGAGUUAAACGCCUUCAUGCCUGCAUAUUCGUGCACUUUGGGUGUACUUGCCCGUAUGGUUGGUUAACAUCAAUUUUGGUGGUCAUAAAAUGACUGGAGGAAUGUAGCUUCGAUCUCGUAUUGAAGUGUUAUAGCCUUCGGUAGAUGUGAUGAUCGAGAUUGAGGAUUGCAACGGAUACCCUUCGGGGCUACCUGUCUGAUCUCUGAUCGUUGUUCUGGUGCCGAAAGCUUGCUUACGGUUAUCAAAGUCGAUGGUCAAUAGGUUAGAACGGGUUAAAUUCGUUAAGGAUGUUGACGUAAUGGCUUUAAACGA
rnacentral:rRNA from 1 species